rnacentral:rRNA from 1 species
UACGUAGGGGGCGAGCGUUAUCCGGAAUUACUGGGUGUAAAGGGAGCGUAGACGGCGAAGUAAGCCUGAAGUGGAAGCCCGCGGCCCAACCGCGGAACUGCUUUGGGAACUGCUUAGCUGGAGUAUGGGAGGGGUAAGCGGAAUUCCUGGUGUAGCGGUGAAAUGCGUAGAUAUCAGGAGGAACACCGGUGGCGAGGGCGGCUUACUGGACCAUGACUGACGUUGAGGCUCGAAAGCGUGGGGAGCGAACAGG